GCAUAUCAAUAAGCGGAGGAAAAGAAACCAACAGGGAUUGCCCUAGUAACGGCGAGUGAAGCGGCAACAGCUCAAAUUUGAAAUCUGGCUCUUUCAGAGUCCGAGUUGUAAUUUGCAGAGGGCGCUUUGGCUUUGGCAGCGGUCCAAGUUCCUUGGAACAGGACGUCACAGAGGGUGAGAAUCCCGUACGUGGUCGCUAGCUAUUGCCGUGUAAAGCCCCUUCGACGAGUCGAGUUGUUUGGGAAUGCAGCUCUAAAUGGGAGGUAAAUUUCUUCUAAAGCUAAAUAUUGGCCAGAGACCGAUAGCGCACAAGUAGAGUGAUCGAAAGAUGAAAAGCACUUUGGAAAGAGAGUCAAACAGCACGUGAAAUUGUUGAAAGGGAAGCGCUUGCAGCCAGACUUGCUUGCAGUUGCUCAUCCGGGCUUUUGCCCGGUGCACUCUUCUGUAGGCAGGCCAGCAUCAGUUUGGGCGGUGGGAUAAAGGUCUCUGUCACGUUCCUUCCUUCGGGUUGGCCAUAUAGGGGAGACGUCAUACCACCAGCCUGGACUGAGGUCCGCGCAUCUGCUAGGAUGCUGGCGUAAUGGCUGUAAGCGGCCCGUCUUGAAACACGGACCAAGGAGUCUAACAUCUAUGCGAGUGUUUGGGUGUCAAGCCCGAGCGCGUAAUGAAAGUGAACGGAGGUGGGAACCCGCAAGGGCGCACCAUCGACCGAUCCUGAAGUUUACGGAAGGAUUUGAGUAAGAGCAUGGCUGUUGGGACCCGAAAGAUGGUGAACUAUGCUUGAAUAGGGUGAAGCCAGAGGAAACUCUGGUGGAGGCUCGCAGCGGUUCUGACGUGCAAAUCGAUCGUCAAAUUUGGGCAUAGGGGCGAAAGACUAAUCGAACUAUCUAGUAGCUGGUUCUGCGAG
rnacentral:rRNA from 1 species